rnacentral:rRNA from 1 species
UACGUAGGUGGCGAGCGUUGUCCGGAUUUAUUGGGCGUAAAGAGCUCGUAGGCGGUUCAGUAAGUCGGGUGUGAAAACUCUGGGCUCAACCCAGAGACGCCACCCGAUACUGCUGUGACUUGAGUACGGUAGGGGAGUGGGGAAUUCCUGGUGUAGCGGUGAAAUGCGCAGAUAUCAGGAGGAACACCGGUGGCGAAGGCGGCAUCCUGGACCGGCAUUGACGCUGAGGAGCGAAAGCCAGGGGAGCAAACGGG